rnacentral:pre_miRNA from 1 species
UAUAUACUCCCUCCGUUUCAAAUUACUCGUCGCUGAAAUGGAUGUAUCUAGAACUAAAAUACAUCUAGAUACAUCCAUACGUGCGACAAGUAAUUCGGAACGGAGGAAGUAAUAU